GCUGCUGUAGCUCAGUGGUAGAGCACUCGCUUGGUAAGCGAGAGGUCGGCAGUUCAAUCCUGCCCAGCAGCACCA
rnacentral:tRNA from 1 species